CGACAGUCACACUGCAGUGUGACACUCAGAGAAAGGAACUUGGAGAGGAGAAUGACCUGUGUAGGGGUGGACUCUAACUGUGCCUACAAGGGCGGGAAUGCUGGGGAUCAAACUCAUGGCCUCCAGCAUACUAGGCAAGUGCCCUACCACAGAGCUACCCUACCACUGAGCUACCCCCCAGUCCCUGAUGAUAAAGGAUUUCUUAAAAGAGGAGCCCGCUUCUGUCUGCAGGAUAUCCUCUGUUAUGGUCACAAGGAAGGUCUCAAUGAUCCCAUGAUGCUGUAAUGCUCCAGGACAAGACCACACCUGUGGGA